rnacentral:rRNA from 1 species
UACGAAGGGUGCAAGCGUUAAUCGGAAUUACUGGGAGUAAAGCGUGCGCAGGCGGCUUUGCAAGACAGAUGUGAAAUCCCCGGGCUCAACCUGGGAACUGCAUUUGUGACUGCAAGGCUAGAGUACGGCAGAGGGGGAUGGAAUUCCGCGUGUAGCAGUGAAAUGCGUGGAUAUGCGGAGGAACACCAAUGGCGAAGGCAAUCCCCUGGGCCUGUACUGACGCUCAUGCACGAAAGCGUGGGGAGCAAACAGG